UAGGGAAUAUUGCACAAUGGGGAAGACCCUGAUGCAGCGACGCCGCGUGAAGGAAGAAGUAUCUCGGUAUGUAAACUUCUAUCAGCAGGGAAGACAAUGACGGUACCUGACUAAGAAGCCCCGGCUAACUACGUGCCAGCAGCCGCGGUAAUACGUAGGGGCGAAGCGUUAUCCGGAUUUACUGGGUGUAAAGGGAGCGUAGACGGAUCUGCAAGUCUGGAGUGAAAGCCCGGGGCGUCAACCCAGGCAGCUGCUUGGAAUUGAACUGUAGGUCUAGAGUGCCGGAGAGGUAAGCGGAAUUCCUAGUGUAGCGGUGAAAUGCGUAGAUAUUAGGAGGAACACCAGUGGCGAAGGCGGCUUACUGGACGGUAACUGACGUUGAGGCUCGAAAGCGUGGGGAGCAAACAGGAUUAGAUACC
rnacentral:rRNA from 1 species